rnacentral:lncRNA from 1 species
CCCUCCAUUAUCUGGUUGUAUUUUAUUUAUUUAAUAUAAUUAUUCUCUUAUUUUGAUGUUGCAGGUCUUUCUCAUUCCCGUCAGGAGUAGUGUCCUAGGUGUCUAGUUCUUUUGUAUGAAUUAGGGAAUUAGCAUUUCCAAUUCUUUUGUAUGACUUAGGGUUAGCAUUCUUAUUUCUUCUGUGUGAACCUGGGAUGAAAUGGAUGUUGUUGUAUUUUCUUUAGAUAAUUAUAUGACAGGAA